rnacentral:rRNA from 2 species
GACGAACGCUGGCGGCGUGCCUAAUACAUGCAAGUCGAGCGGUUGAAGCCUUCGGGCGGAGAUAGCGGCGGACGGGUGAGUAACACGUAGGUAACCUGCCUAACAGACUGGGAUAACUACCGGAAACGGUAGCUAAGACCGGAUACGACCAUUUGAGGGCAUCCUUGGAUGGUGAAAAGCGGAGCAAUCUGCUGCUGGUAGAUGGACCUGCGGCGCAUUAGCUAGUUGGUGAGGUAGAGGCUCACCAAGGCGACGAUGCGUAGCCGACCUGAGAGGGUGAACGGCCACACUGGGACUGAGACACGGCCCAGACUCCUACGGGAGGCAGCAGUAGGGAAUCUUCGGCAAUGGACGAAAGUCUGACCGAGCAACGCCGCGUGAGUGAUGAAGGUUUUCGGAUCGUAAAACUCUGUUGCCAGGGAAGAAUGGUUAGGCGAGUAACUGCGCUUGAUUUGACGGUACCUGAGAAGAAAGCCCCGGCUAACUACGUGCCAGCAGCCGCGGUAAUACGUAGGGGGCAAGCGUUGUCCGGAAUUAUUGGGCGUAAAGCGCGCGCAGGCGGUUGCUUAAGUCUGGUGUAUAAACCAAGGGCUCAACCUUUGGACGCAUUGGAAACUGGGCAACUGGA